GAGAGCCGGGUGGGGUGCUGGACCCUGCUUCCGUGGGCUUUCAGCUCUCGUUGGUGCUGGUGCUCGCGUGGGCACGUCACACCUCCCUUCACCCUU
rnacentral:pre_miRNA from 1 species